UACGUAGGGGGCAAGCGUUGUCCGGAUUUAUUGGGCGUAAAGAGCGUGUAGGCGGCCAGGUAGGUCGGUUGUGAAAACUGGAGGCUCAACCUUCAGACGUCGACCCGAAACCCCCUGGCUAGAGUCCGGAAGAGGAGAGUGGAAUUCCUGGUGUAGCGGUGAAAUGCGUAGAUAUCAGGAGGAACACCUGUGGUGUAGACAGCUUACUGGACCAUGACUGACGCUGAGGCACGAAAGCGUGGGGAGCAAACAGG
rnacentral:rRNA from 1 species